CCUACGGGUGGCAGCAGUGAGGAAUAUUGGUCAAUGGACGAGAGUCUGAACCAGCCAAGUAGCGUGAAGGAUGACUGCCCUAUGGAUUGUAAGCUUCUUUUAUAAAGGAAUAAAACGCGGCACGUGUGCCUUUUUGCAUGUACUUUAUUGAUAAGGAUCGGCUAACUCCGUGCCAGCAGCCGCGGUAAUACGGAGGCUCCGGGCGUUAUCCGGAUUUAUUGGGUUUAAAGGGAGCGUAGAUGGGUUGUUAAGUCAGUUGUGAAAGUUUGCGGCUCAACCGUAAAAUUGCAAUUGAUACUGGGAGGCUUGAGUAUAGUUGAGGUAGGCGGAAUUCGUGGUGUAGCGGUGAAAUGCUUAGAUAUUACGAAGAACCCCGAUUGCGAAGGCAGCUUACUAAACUGUGACUGACAUUGAUGCUCGAAAGUGUGGGGAUCAAACAGGAUUAGAUACCCCUGUAGUC
rnacentral:rRNA from 1 species